ACAGCAGUCGCCGCGGGAAUACGGAGGGUGCAAGCGUUAAUCGGAAUUACUGGGCGUAAAGCGCACGCAGGCGGUCUGACAAGUCAGAUGUGAAAUCCCCGGGCUUAACCUGGGAACUGCAUUUGAAACUGUCAGGCUGGAGUCUUGUAGAGGGGGGUGGAAUUCCAGGUGUAGCGGUGAAAUGCGUAGAGAUCUGGAGGAAUACCGGUGGCGAAGGCGGCCCCCUGGACAAAGACUGACGCUCAGGUGCGAAAGCGUGGGGAGCAAACAGGAUUAGAUACCCGAGUAGUCCCUGUCUCUUAUAC
rnacentral:rRNA from 1 species